CCUACGGGAGGCAGCAGUGGGGAAUAUUGCACAAUGGGGGAAACCCUGAUGCAGCAACGCCGCGUGAGUGAAGAAGUAUCUCGGUAUGUAAAGCUCUAUCAGCAGGGAAGAAAAUGACGGUACCUGACUAAGAAGCCCCGGCUAACUACGUGCCAGCAGCCGCGGUAAUACGUAGGGGGCAAGCGUUAUCCGGAUUUACUGGGUGUAAAGGGAGCGUAGACGGUGUGGCAAGUCUGAAGUGAAAGCCCGGGGCUCAACCCCGGGACUGCUUUGGAAACUGUCAUGCUGGAGUGCUGGAGAGGUAA
rnacentral:rRNA from 1 species